rfam:Triticum aestivum genome assembly, contig: Triticum_aestivum_CS42_TGACv1_scaffold_096706_2AL
GUAGUACUUCCUUCGUUCCAAAUUACUCGUCGCAGAAAUGGAUGUAUCUAAAACUAAAAUACAUCUAGAUAUAUUCAUACCCGCGACAAGUAAUUCGGAACGGAGGAAGGACGAA